CCAGCAGACUGGCAUGAUUUGCUGGUGGUGUGGCCCUGGCUGCUGCUUGGACUGUCUCUCAUCCUCAGUGCCAUCACACCACCCUUCGGCACGCUCUCCACCUCUGCGGCUUUUGACGGCAAGCUGUAAUAUGGACGUACGGACCUUUACUUUGAUAUUACCAUCCGUCCAUCUCACCUCUUUUCCACCUCUCCUCUAUUUCAUUCUUCCUCUUUCGUUUCAUGUGAACAGCCUUCCAGUCAACAUGACCUGUAUGACUCUCGCUUUUUCUAGCCUAUCAGAUCUGCAUGAUUUUGUCAGCAGGGCUAGCAACAAAAGUUGAAAUCUGAGAUUUUUCUCUCUUUCUUUCUCUCACCCACUUUCUUUGUCGAGCAGGCUGCGAGAAAAUUGUGAUCGGCUUCAUACUCAUCCUCAUCCUCACACCAGGGUGGGGUUUUUAAGCAUAUGUGUGAAUGUCAGGCUUGAGGAAAAUGGUGGACAGCUAGUCAAGUCUCAGUACAUAACAAAUCAUCAAAGCCGGGAUUAAAAUUUCGUGAAGGAGCAGCUUUGACUGCUGGAAGACUUAAGCGUAUUAGCUUUAAAACCAAGAUGGGAGUUUCAAGUGAUGUAUGGCAGACUUCAAAGAUGUUUUAAUCUGUCAGUAGGCAUGCUCUUGCACAGGCUAUUUAUAUUAGGACACAGUGUUUCUGCUUGCACAUCCUAAUCAAUGGCUUCUCCGGCUAGACCCAGCCUGAUGUUGGUGUUAACCAGUUAUUAAACAGCUGCACUUCCUCUAGAUUGUUUCCUCUGCUUUUCUUUAGAGUGGUCUUUAGAGGCACGACAUGUACUUAUUAUGAAUAAUCAUUUUAUGAUUUAAUGGUCACAACUGCACUUCUAUUCAUGCUACUGAAAUGUAUUUGGACGCUUAUAAGGUCACACUUAAAAAUUUUAAUGUCUUUGCAUUAUAUCAGUAUAUCAAACAUUAAAACAUAUGACAAAAAGAGUUGUUUGGACACUUUCUGGUUAGUGUAACAUUCAUUGUUAAUGGGAUGAAUUACAGCUGUGUUUACUCUGAUGGAACACAUGUAGUUGACAUGAUAUCUAAGAGGAUCGGCAGUAUCUUGUGGUGUGACAUGCUACAUUUUUUUCCACAUCUUCUAGGCGUUCUGUAUAGCCUUAUUAAUUGGGACAUGAAUACACUAUAAAAAAUUAUAUGAUUUGUAAAUCAUGGCAACUUAUGUUUUAUCAUUGACUCGUCAACUUUUUAUAAAUUAUAUGAAGGUCAACUUUUUAAGUCGGUUUAAUGUUAUUUAAGUUGAAAUGACUUUUACAACCAAGUUGAUUAUACUUAAAAUUUUAAGGCAGCAACUAAAGUUUUUAAAUUGAAAUAGGUGAAUUUUUUUACAGUGAAUAUUGCUACUGUUAAAAUGAAUUUGUUGCACUGCAGAACAAUUUAAAAUAAUUAUCUAUCAAAGGGAAAUUGUGUUUAAAAUGUUUUGACUAAAAUAAAUGUUGACCACAGGACUUGAAACACAUUUUCCCUAAUGCAUUUAUAUAAGAUUUAAAAUAUUGAUGAAAAUAAUUUAAUACAUAAGCGUGUGUAGAUAUCCACAUCUGGGAAAUCUUGAAGGAAACUGUCUUCAUACAUCCACUAAAAUGAGUUGGUAAUAACUGAAAUAAUAUGCUUUUAACUAAAAUAGUACAAGUUAUUUCUGGAGCCCUAGCUUCAUUUGUUUACAACUGCAACUUGGUUUGAUAUUUUUAUGUAGUGCAGCGACAAUCAUAAUAUCUCACUUAAGUAAUUUUUCAGGACAUUUUUUAAGGUUUAUUUCCUGCAGCAAAUUCUAACAUUCCUGCAAAUAUACAAUCUUUCUGCUACAUGUGAAAGUUUGUUAAACUGACAAGAAAGUGAUCAUUUCAGGUUUUGCUCAUCCAAGUUCAACGGCAUCCAGAAAAGAGUAAUACUACCUGAAUGCAGGCGCUAUAUCAUGAUGACGUGGAAGAUAUUGUCAUUCUAUACAAAAUCUGAAGCACCACUGCUUUCUUUAUGACUAUACAAAAUUAUUGAUUUAUUCCAAAAUAACCUGGAUAAGAGGAGUAUAAAGCCAAAACCUUUUAAUUCAAGUGUGUUAAUUGUAGUACUGUUCUUGUUGUUACUUAAAACUGUUGUUGACUAGUGACUAAGCUUUUAUUUUAUAACUUAAAAACGUAUUAUUAUUAUUAUUAUUAUUACAAAUUAUAUUUCAGCCUAACAAUUUGUGUGAAUGUUUUUGAA